CUGGCGGCAUGCCUUACACAUGCAAGUCGAACGGCAGCGCGGGGCAACCUGGCGAGUGGCGAACGGGUGAGUAAUAUAUCGGAACGUACCCUAGAGUGGGGGAUAACGCAGCGAAAGUUGCGCUAAUACCGCAUACGAUCUACGGAUGAAAGUGGGGGAUCGCAAGACCUCAUGCUCAUGGAGCGGCCGAUAUCUGAUUAGCUAGUUGGUGGGGUAAAAGCCUACCAAGGCAUCGAUCAGUAGCUGGUCUGAGAGGACGACCAGCCACACUGGAACUGAGACACGGUCCAGACUCCUACGGGAGGCAGCAGUGGGGAAUUUUGGACAAUGGGCGCAAGCCUGAUCCAGCAAUGCCGCGUGAGUGAAGAAGGCCUUCGGGUUGUAAAGCUCUUUUGUCAGGGAAGAAACGGGUCUUUCUAAUACAGAGAUCUAAUGACGGUACCUGAAGGAUAAGCACCGGCUAACUACGUGCCAGCAGCCGCGGUAAUACGUAGGGUGCAAGCGUUAAUCGGAAUUACUGGGCGUAAAGCGUGCGCAGGCGGUUUUGUAAGUUUGUCGUGAAAUCCCCGGGCUCAACCUGGGAAUGGCGAUGAAGACUGCAAGGCUAGAGUUUGGCAGAGGGGGGUAGAAUUCCACGUGUAGCAGUGAAAUGCGUAGAUAUGUGGAGGAACACCGAUGGCGAAGGCAGCCCCCUGGGUCAAAACU
rnacentral:rRNA from 1 species